UAAAGCAAUUGGAGACGAUGUAAUAGGAUGUGUACAGUUAUUAGCUAUAGAGAUAGAAAAACAAGUUAAAAAUUUUCAGAAGAAGAAACGAAAAAGUCUUUUGUUUUGUCUAGUGGAAGCUCUAUCUUCUUCUUUUUUUAUCCCGGAAGUCUGGGUGUAUCCACGUCGUCACCUGUAAAGCAAAUGGUAAAAAAAAAUAAAACUGAAUAAACUCCUUCUGCACGGCUCCGAAACAGCACACGAGAGGCGGAUCGUCGUAAGGAAACUCGAUCCCGAUCGUCGUAAUCCUCUAACUCCGGAUUCAAUUCAGGACCAGUCUCGAUAGUACCCUUCUCGAUGUCAUGUUUCUCAAUCACUGUCGAGGAUUGCUUCUUCUUCCUUCCUUUGCGACUAGGUUUAGCUGCGGUUUCCGCUGCUGCUCCGAUUGUGAUUCCGCCAUUAAUUGAAGCUCUCGGGGAGAGGAAUUGCCUUGGUUUUGGUGAAUUUCGAGCUACCACAAUCUCUCUACGAUCUAGCGAAGAAUCAAAAAGGUGAAGGUGAGGAAAAAGAAGAAGUGAAGCGCCAUUGGGAGGGUUUUUUACUUCGAUGUCAGGGUUUAUCCAAAUCUUCCUCUUUUGAAUCAUAUCGGGUCCUGACCCGACUUCUAUUCUAAUCGGGUCAACCCAUGAAAACCCGGUUCCGGUUAUUUUCCUUUUUUUUUUUCUUACGGCUGAAGAAUCAGUUUAGAUUUUAGAAGGAGAAACAAAUAAAACCCUCCACAAAGAUCUCACCGACGAUUUGAUUUCGCUCGUUCUCAGGCCAUCCUCACCGCCGGAACAAUUUUUAUAAGGUAAUCUCGCACUCGAUUCAGCUCCAGGAUUUCUAGUUUUAUUGUUCUUCACUGAGUUGCUUAGAUUUGGAGUUCUCGUUUCCGUGUGGGAAUAGAUCGAUCGGUUUGGCUGCUUCUUCUAUUAGCAGCUUUGGAUCUUCAAUUACUGUCUCGAUCUUGGUUUAUAAUUCCUGCGUAAUUUGUUACACCAGUAUGCUGUAAAGUGAUUUCUUCUGCUUAUAUAUAUAUGCCUUAUUGACAUUGUUCUGCGUUAAUUUGGAUUUCUAUUCUCUGUUUUCUACCACAAGCUUAGCUUAAUCUGUAGACAUUGUCUCUAUUAAUGGGGUCGUCUUGUUUGAUACCUAGCAACUAUAGACUGUUUCUUCGCUUGUGAUGGAACUUUGUUAUCUUACUGCUGAGCUUAGGAUUCGUGAUUUUUUUUUUUUAAAACUCUCAUGAUGCUGUGAUUUUCUAAUUGACUGAAGUUUACUGCUCUGAAUCAACUUGGUAAGAAAAUCUCAUCUAGUGAUCAGUGGUUCAUUUAGCUUGGUGUUUUUCUUGAGCUGCUUUUGACCCUUGCAAAACUUCUGUUACGUGAUUUUUUUAAUCCUGAGAAGAGUCUAUACAUUAUGCCUAGGUUAAAGCCUUUUUGAAAUGCUAGCUCAGUGACUGUCCUGCCAUUAUAUAAGAUUAUAGAUAUUAUUGCAAGGCCGGAACAAGUUCAAUUCUUUAUAAAAAACCAUUAAUGUCAUGUCCCUGUUUUUGAAGCAAAGAUGAGAAUUCAUCUAGGUAACCAAUCUUGAUCUUCUCCGUACUGACGUAUUCCACGUAUCUGGAGGCGUUAGAAGAGUCAGUUUUCAAAGCGUGAUGGAGAUGACCGAUCAGAACCACGCUAGGGGUAUAUGCUUCGUGGUUUAUCUCACGCAGAGAAGUGGGAACCAUGUGAAUACAACAAUAAUUUAUAUGAGAUGGAAGCUUCCACUGGCGGGUAUUGUCAAGCUGCUGACAUUUAACUGAUCUGGUGAGGAGCGUAUAUGUAUUCUCACUCGGUAUAAAAGACGAUGAACCAGUCAUUAAAGAAGACAUCAAAAGCAUGCCUUGCGCAGAUCUGUUAUGGAGCGGGGGAGUAAAGUUUCAGGCAGUACAAGAAAGUAUGUCCAUCAAAGUGAGAUUUGAAAACAACAUCUUGAUGAUUCCCAUCCUAUGUGUGGAUGAUCAAUUUGAGGUGACUUUUCGAAACUUGGUUGCACUAGAGCAGUGCUCUUACGCUCAUGAGCCUUACGUGUAUAGCUAUUUAGCGUUUAUUGACUUUCUCACUGACAAAGACACUAAUUUGCUGGCUGAAAGAGGUAACCUUCUUUAUUCUUUAGAUUGUUCUUGUAUGCGGCUAAUUGUGUAUGGCAUGUAUUGAAUUUUGGUGUUCUUUUUUGUUUUGUAAGGUAUUAUCACCAACUGGGUUGGGAAGACAAGUUUGGUGGCAGAGACGGUGAACGAGUUACGACGCAGCGUCUAUGUGGAUUCAGCUUCAUGGUAUUCAGGCAUUGCUAAUCGAUUGAAUGCUUACCACAAGAAGUACUACAACAAAACUUUGGUAAUUGGAAACGUAAUUACUUUGGUAAUUUGUCGACCGAGACAGCCAUGGUUGCAGCUAUUGUUCUAUUGAUUUUAACAGCCGCUCAGACGUAGUUCUCAUUUUACCAAAUGAAACAGUCGAAUCAUGAUGGCCAAGUCCAACCCAAACAUGGCUAGCUACAAUGCGAGAACUAGUAUCAAGUACAGCGAGCUUAGGCACAUGGAUCUGUGAUUUGGCUAGUACUUAGUCCUAGUUUCUAUUUCCAUCCUUACAAACUUCAUUCGUAUGUGUAACAGUGGGAGAUUGGUUUUUGCCCUUUUGCUCUUCAUUCUGCUUUUGUCAUUUUCCAUCCCAUGAAACUUGUUUGUAUUUCUCUGAUACUGGGAGUUUGGUUUUGUUUCUUUGUGUUGCGUUUGUUUAAAAACUAUGUUUAUUUGGUUUCAGUUUUUGUCUCUUUUCUUUUGCCCUUCAUUCUCUUUAUUAACUAUAUCAUACUAACAAAAGUUUAAGUUUUGGUAUCAUUGUUUGGUGUUUGCAUGUGUCAAGCUUCUUAUCAUAUAUAUAGAUAAUAAUGCACUAGUAUGAAGUAAUGCCAAAACAACUUAGUACAUUAUUACUUAUCUACGUGAUAGGGGAGUCGAUUAUAAUGUUUCACACCUGUGCAAUUGAAUUCCUCACCACUUUGCUUCAACAACACAAAAGACCCUAUUCAUGUACAUAAGGACUUUAGAACAGUCAAUUUCUGCGUUAACAAAUAGAAUUUUGUUCAACUCGGGUUUAAUAGAAAUAUUCUAGGGCUUGCCACGAUCCUUAUGGGCACUCCUAGAAUAUUGAUAUACAAUUGUAAACUUUGAAGCCACAAAAAUAAGGGUGGUUUCAUUCUCUUAGAUCUACAGGGGUGUUAGAAGAGAGUAGGCUUUGAUUUGAUUUUUAGUCGGGUACAAUCUUAUUAAGAGAGAUAUGUUGACUAAGAGCCGAGACAAAAUUGUAUCCUUGUAAAAGAUAAAUUUUGUUUAUAAGAUUAAAUAGAAAAGCGUUGUCUUGGCGCGUUCCAAGAGAAAAUUAGUGUGUUAUGUGUUUCUGUACUUUAACACAUUGAUUUUCAUAUAUCAUUUUACAAUAUUACCUAAUUGAGAGUUCUAAGACGGUCAUUUAUUAUUAAACUUGUGGUGUGAUAAUCUCUACUCAAUACUCAAUAGUAUCAUUAGAAUACUUGGUAUGAUUGAAAAUAGGGUAUUUUUUUUUUUUUUUGGUGAUAAUUAAUGUAUUGUGUAAACAGAGGAGGAUAGGACGACCAAAGCUUCUUAAUUACUUGAUGUUAUUUAAAGUCUUUUCUUUUGUCUAGUGGAAGCUCUAGACCAAAAAAAAAUUCAAAAGAAGAAACGAAAAAGUCUUUUCUUUUGUCGAGUGGAAGCUCUAUCUUCUUUUUUUUUUUAUCCCGGAAGUCUGGGUGUAUCCACGUCGUCACCUGUAAAGCAAAUGGAAAAAAAUUAAAACUGAAAAGCAAAAAAAAAAGGGUUCCAUAAGUGAUAUAUAUAUAUAUAGACAUCUACAAAAGGAAAAACGUUGUCUGUUGAAUGUUUACUCUAUAUUACAUGUUGAGCCUGAGCACUAUUCGGAAACCAGUGUGGCUCCAUCUGUCAGAUAAUGUAUGUGCUUCAAUCUCUUUUUCCGGGAAGUCUGGGUUUCUCCACGACAUUUUCUGCAAAGCAAAGAGAAUAUCUAGUGAAACAAUAAUAAACCUAAAUCAACUUUAGUGAUCAUAUAUAUAUAUAUAUAGGUACAAAAAAAUGCUGCAUCGCGCGAGGUUGAUUGUUUUACAUUUAGGUACGAUGUGCACUGCAUCAUAAGAAUGUUGUUGGCCGCAGCUCUAUCAAGGCUGGCUUUAUCCUGCUUUCCUUGUAUAUUACCCUCGACCUUGAGUGUUGCUAAAUCCUCUCUUUCAUAAAAACCUCUGACCAUAUGAAACUGUCGUCGUUUCACAUG
rnacentral:lncRNA from 1 species